rnacentral:rRNA from 1 species
AAUAGAUACCCCGGUAGUCCACGCCGUAAACGAUGAGUGCUAAGUGUUAGAGGGUUUCCGCCCUUUAGUGCUGCAGCUAACGCAUUAAGCACUCCGCCUGGGGAGUACGGUCGCAAGACUGAAACUCAAAGGAAUUGACGGGGGCCCGCACAAGCGGUGGAGCAUGUGGUUUAAUUCGAAGCAACGCGAAGAACCUUACCAGGUCUUGACAUCCUCUGACAACUCUAGAGAUAGAGCGUUCCCCUUCGGGGGACAGAGUGACAGGUGGUGCAUGGUUGUCGUCAGCUCGUGUCGUGAGAUGUUGGGUUAAGUCCCGCAACGAGCGCAACCCUUGAUCUUAGUUGCCAGCAUUUAGUUGGGCACUCUAAGGUGACUGCCGGUGACAAACCGGAGGAAGGUGGGGAUGACGUCAAAUCAUCAUGCCCCUUAUGACCUGGGCUACACACGUGCUACAAUGGAUGGUACAAAGGGCUGCAAGACCGCGAGGUCAAGCCAAUCCCAUAAAACCAUUCUCAGUUCGGAUUGU